CCUACGGGAGGCAGCAGUGAGGAAUAUUGGUCAAUGGGCUUACGCCUGAACCAGCCAAGUCGCGUGCGGGAAGACUGCCCUAUGGGUUGUAAACCUCUUUUGUCAGGGAGCAAUUGUCGCUACGUGUAGCGUUAUCGAGAGUACCUGAAGAAAAAGCAUCGGCUAACUCCGUGCCAGCAGACGCGGUAAUACGGAGGAUGCGAGCGUUAUCCGGAUUUAUUUGGUUUAAAGGGUGCGUAGGCGGAAUGCCAAGUCAGCGGGAAAAUCGCGGGGCUCAACCUCGCUCCGCCGUUGAAACUGGCGUUCUUGAGUGGGCGAGAAGUAUGCGGAAUGCGUGGUGUAGCGGUGAAAUGCAUAGAUAUCACGCAGAACUCCGAUUGCGAAGGCAGCAGACCGGCGCCCAACUGACGCUGAAGCACGAAAGCGUGGGUAUCGAACAGGAUUAGAUACCCUAGUAGUC
rnacentral:rRNA from 1 species